UUUGUAUAAAAUUUUGAUUGUUGCUCAGAAAGCCGUGUCGAUUUAAGCAAUUCGCUUUCGAGCAGUAAUCAAAGUCAAAUAAAAC
rnacentral:pre_miRNA from 1 species